GUGCCCACUUGAUCAGGCGGUGAGGUCUCUCUCCCACGGGGUUUGGGAGCAGAGAGCUGCUGCGGUCCGGGAUCCGCCGGUGUGGGACUUCCGGUAAACACAGGAAGUGCCCGGCCUUAGAGGAAUUUUGCCUCUGUGUGUCCUGAGUUCACCAGGCAGGUUUCUUGCAGGGGAAAAGUUGGUCCUACCUGUGGUUCCAAGGCUCAAGUUUGCUCGUGGGGUACUGCCUAAGUCCUCUCCGCUGUGGCAGCAACCGGGAAAAUCUGUGCCGCUCCUUCCGGGAGCCUCCGUGCA
rnacentral:lncRNA from 1 species